rnacentral:rRNA from 1 species
UCCAGACUCCUACGGGAGGCAGCAGUGGGGAAUAUUGCACAAUGGGGGGAACCCUGAUGCAGCGACGCCGCGUGGGCGAGGAAGUAUUUCGGUAUGUAAAGCCCUAUCGGCAGGGAAGAAGAAAUGACGGUACCUGAAUAAGAAGCACCGGCUAAAUACGUGCCAGCAGCCGCGGUAAUACGUAUGGUGCAAGCGUUAUCCGGAUUUACUGGGUGUAAAGGGGGCGCAGACGGCAGCGCAAGCCAGGAGUGAAAGCCCGGGGCCCAACCCCGGGACUGCUCUUGGAACUGCGCGGCUGGAGUGCAGGAGGGGCAGGCGGAAUUCCUGGUGUAGCGGUGAAAUGCGUAGAUAUCAGGAGGAACACCGGUGGCGAAGGCGGCCUGCUGGACUGCGACUGACGUUGAGGCCCGAAAGCGUGGGGAGCAAACAGGAUUAGAUACCCCUGUACAA